rnacentral:rRNA from 1 species
AACGAACGCUGGCGGCGCGCCUAACACAUGCAAGUCGAACGAGAAUCCGGGGCAACCCGGUAGUAAAGUGGCAAACGGGUGAGGAAUACAUGGGUAACCUACCCUUGAGAAGGGAAUAACCCGCCGAAAGGUGAGCUAAUACCCUAUGCGCUAUCUUUUUUUCGAAAGGAUAGGAAAGCCGGGUCGGAGGACCUGGUACUCAAGGAGGGGCUCAUGUCCUAUCAGCUUGUUGGUGGGGUAACGGCCUACCAAGGCUACGACGGGUAGCUGGUCUGAGAGGAUGAUCAGCCACACUGGCACUGAGAUACGGGCCAGACUCCUACGGGAGGCAGCAGUGAGGAAUAUUGCGCAAUGGGCGAAAGCCUGACGCAGCGACGCCGCGUGGGGGAUGAAGGUUUUCGGAUUGUAAACCCCUUUCAUGAGGAAAGAUAAAGUGGGUAACCACUUAGACGGUACCUCAAGAAGAAGCCACGGCUAACUUCGUGCCAGCAGCCGCGGUAUGUCUAGCAUG